AUGUUUUUGUUCACUACUUGCGAUGGACUGUUAUGCUUGAGGAAUAUCAUUUUUUCUAUUUUGAAAAUGGAAGAGUGUAGGUUGCCUAUUCUGAUUUUUAGUUCUCAGAUUAAUUGGUACAAGGGCAACAACAUGGUUCAAGACAUGGCUGCAGUUUGGUUCGUGUUGCAAUGCUUGGAGGAAAUAUGA